ensembl:lncRNA
AAGGGUGUUGAAGCCAUAUAAAUGUAUGAACUCUGGUUUAGUGAAGUCCAAAUCCACACAGCGAUAAUUCUAUGACUCAGUAUGUUUGUUUUAGUGGUUUUAUUGCGCCAUCCUCAAGACUUGACAGAUAUUACAACCAGACGAACAGAAACCCUCUCGGGUACAUCUACAGAUGAAACAUCAGUCUAUCACUUUUAAAUGGUUACAUUUCGACUAUUUGACUAAUGAUACAAGUUAAGCAUUUUCACACACAGCAUACUGUCAUUCAGACAACAUGGUGAGUAAUUAUACACUACCGACUGAUAUCAAGCUGAAUGUAAAAGCUGCUCGCCAACAGACAGAAAAUACAUUUAUAAAUAAUGACAAAUAAAUACACAACGGAGACGACAACGAGUGGAGAACCUUCUAGUCAGUGUGACAGAAGUAAAACAGUUUAUCUGUAAACAAUGAAUAAUGAUAAAGGAGAAUAAAGUUACCACACUGCUACAGCGCUGCUAUUGGCCAGGGUUAGAUCUACAGCGCUGCCAUUGGUCAGGGUUAGAUCUACAGCGCUGCCAUUGGCCAGGGUUAGAUCUACAGCGCUGCCAUUGGCCAGGGUUAGAUCUACAGCGCUGCCAUUGGCCAGGGUUAGAUCUACAGCGCUGCCAUUGGUCAGGGUUAGAUCUACAGCGCUGCCAUUGGCCAGGGUUAGAUCUACAGCGCUGCCAUUGGCCAGGGUUAGAUCUACAGCGCUGCCAUUGGCCAGGGUUAGAUCUACAGCGCUGCCAUUGGCCAGGGUUAGAUCUACAGCGCUGCCAUUGGCCAGGGUUAGAUCUACAGCGCUGCCAUUGGCCAGGGUUAGAUCUACAGCGCUGCCAUUGGCCAGGGUUAGAUCUACAGCGCUGCUAUUGGCCAGGGUUAGAUCUACAGCACUGCCAUUGGUCAGGGUUAGAUCUACAGCGCUGCCAUUGGUCAGUGUGGUAACAUGGAUAACAGAUCAGUGUGGUAACAUGGAUAACAGAUCAGUGUGGUAACAUGGAUAACAGAUCAGUGUGGUAACAUGGAUAACAUGGAUACAGAUCAGUGUGGUAACAUGGAUAACAGAUCAGUGUGGUAACGUGGAUAACAGAUCAGUGUGGUAACGUGGAUAACAGAUCAGUGUGGUAACGUGGAUAACAGAUCAGUGUGGUAACAUGGAUAACAGAUCAGUGUGGUAACAUGGAUAACAGAUCAGUGUGGUAACAUGGAUAACAGAUCAGUGUGGU